rnacentral:lncRNA from 1 species
AGGAAAUGUAAUGUGCACUUUUUGGCCCCGGUCGCGGGAGCCGCUUUGGGCUUUCUGCGCAUGUGCGCGGUGUGGCUCGAGGUUUGUUUUUCUCCGGUGCAGCCUGGUAGGGAGGGCUCCCGGCAUCUCCCUGCGUCGGGGCAGAGGAUGCCGAGGGUAGAGUACCGGAGGGCUGGAGCGAGGGUGGACUGGAGGUGCCGCUUGUCCUGGAGGUGGGAGAGAGGGAGCGGCUUUGCCGCCUGGCCUGCGUCCUAAUCCUGCCCUGGUUCUUCUGCUCCCGAAGGGAACGCAGGUCCCGCGCCUGUGACAAGUAAGGUUGGAUUUUCUCUCCCCUGAGGUGAAGGAUGCCCGGAGGCCUCGGCAGGACCGCGCGGAAACGGGCCUUCUGCCCAAAAGAUGCUGCUUCUCUCCUUAUUCUUUCCCCUCAGAAUCUCGCUGUCUCCUUCCAACCACCUGUGGUCGGCAUCCCCGCGUUGUCACUGCGACGCAGAGGUCGCAGCUUCAUGGCCUGAUGCCGUCAGGAAGUAUUUUGAAGUCAUCGUGGCUGUGGAUUGGGGGAUUUCUUGUUUCCACUGACCUGUGAGGCCGCGCACGUGGAGGGAGGCACCCCGGGUCCUCCGGCACUGUCCGGCCUCGCCUGUGUCCCUAGUAGCAGUGGGCAUUUCCAGACGGUGCAGCUUGUGGCUAAAGUGACAGGAAGAUGUAGGAGCUUUCAGUCUUGGAUGAGGAUUCGAACUGAAAGGGUUAGGCCCAGCUGUCUUGGAGCAAAACAUCUGUUGUGGGGUGAGAAGGGAAAGGGGGGGUGAGGGUGCAGGGGCCCUCCUAGGAGGACAUCGGACCUGUUGGGCCGAGACCUCAUUAGAGAUCUAGAGCACGGAUGGGAGGAGCAGAGGCUCGAUUUGUGUCCUGUCCAGACUCCCACAGGCUGGGUGAUGGUGGGAGAUUUGUGCCCAUUCAGAUGUGGCGGCAGAGGAGGGCAAGGCCGAAGGAGCAGACAGCACCGCUUCUUGGGGAGUUGUGAAGGCAUCAUGCGGAGGGCCGAGCUUAGCAGCCAAGUGGAGGACAGCAACCUCCAUGCCUGGAUUCGUUACUCGCUCGUUCUAGAUGUUGAGCUGCUGGCAUAUUGCAGCACAACUAGAGAUGUACGGAUGCCCCCAUCUUGAUCUUACAGAAUCAGAGGUGCAGCCGCAAGAAAGGUCUGUAAGUUAUCUAUUUCGGCUUUAUUUAAAAGAUGGGAUGGGGUGACUGUUGACAUUGACACAUUUUGUUGUGGCAGAGUCAAGAACAGACACUGAGUCGCUUGAGGACUCAGGCAGGUGUUUGCUGCAUUGACAACAGAGUAAGAAAAAAUCCGUUUG